ACGGGUGAGUAACNUGUGGGUAUCUUCCCUUUGGNGAGGAAUAACACGAGGAAACUUGUGCUAAUACCUCAUAAGUCUUUACGGANAAAGCUUUAUGCGCCAAUGGAUGAGCCUGCNCUUGAUUANUUUGUUGGGGGGGUAAUGGCCCACCAAGACUUUGAUCAAUAGCUGAUCUGAGAGGAUGAUCAGCCACAUUGGGACUGAGACACGGCCCAAACUCCUACGGGAGGCAGCAGUAGGGAAUAUUGCACAAUGGAGGAAACUCUGAUGCAGCGAUGCCGCGUGAGUGAAGAAGGCCUUUGGGUUGUAAAGCUCUUUCGUCGGGGAAGAAAAUGACGGUACCCGAAUAAGAAGGUCCGGCUAACUUCGUGCCAGCAGCCGCGGUAAUACGAAGGGACCUAGCGUAGUUCGGAAUUACUGGGCUUAAAGAGUUCGUAGGUGGUUAAAAAAGUUGGUUGUGAAAUCCCGAAGCUUAACUUCGGAACUGCAAUCAAAACUUUUUAGCUAGAGUAUGAUAGAGGAAAGCAGAAUUUCUAGUGUAGAGGUGAAAUUCGUAGAUAUUAGAAAGAAUACCAAUUGCGAAGGCAGCUUUCUGGAUCAUUACUGACGCUGAGGAACGAAAGCAUGGGUAGCGAAGAGGAUUAGAUACCCUCGUAGUCCAUGCCGUAAACGAUGUGUGUUAGACGUUGGAAAUUUAUUUUCAGUGUCGCAGCGAAAGCAGUAAACACACCGCCUGGGGAGUACGACCGCAAGGNUAAAACUCAAAUGAAUUGACGGGGNCCCGCACAAGUAGNGGANCAUGUGGUUUAAUUCGAAGANACGCGCAGAACCNUUACCAA
rnacentral:rRNA from 1 species